rnacentral:rRNA from 1 species
AGAGUUUGAUCAUGGCUCAGAUUGAACGCUGGCGGCAUGCCUUACACAUGCAAGUCGAGCGGCAGGNGGGGGCAACCCUGGCGGCGAGCGGCGCACGGGUGAGUAAUGCAUCGGAACGUGUCCUCUUGUGGGGGAUAACCAGUCGAAAGACUGGCUAAUACCGCAUGAGAUCGAGAGAUGAAAAGCAGGGGACCCGCAAGGCCUUGCGCGAGAGGAGCGGCCGAUGCCCGAUUAGCUAGUUGGUGGGGUAAAAGCCUACCAAGGCGACGAUCGGUAGCUGGUUUGAGAGAACGACCAGCCACACUGGGACUGAGACACGGCCCAGACUCCUACGGGAGGCAGCAGUGGGGAAUUUUGGACAAUGGGGGCAACCCUGAUCCAGCCAUGCCGCGUGUGUGAAGAAGGCCUUCGGGUUGUAAAGCACUUUCGGCCGGAACGAAAUCGCACUGGUGAAUAUCCAGUGUGGAUGACGGUACCGGAAGAAGAAGCACCGGCUAACUACGUGCCAGCAGCCGCGGUAAUACGUAGGGUGCGAGCGUUAAUCGGAAUUACUGGGCGUAAAGUGUGCGCAGGCGGUUUCGCAAGUCAAGUGUGAAAGCCCCGGGCUUAACCUGGGAACUGCGCUUGAAACUACGGAACUCGAGUGUGGCAGAGGAAGGUGGAAUUCCCGUGUAGCGGUGAAAUGCGUAGAGAUGUGGAGGAACACCGAUGGCGAAGGCAGCCUUCUGGGCCAACACUGACGCUCAUGCACGAAAGCGUGGGGAGCAAACAGGAUUAGAUACCCUAGUAGUCC